UACGUAGGGGGCAAGCGUUGUCCGGAAUCAUUGGGCGUAAAGCGCGUGUAGGCGGCUCAGUAAGUCCGCUCUGAAAGCCCGGGGCUCAACCCCGGGAGGCGGGUGGAUACUGCUGAGCUCGAGUCCGGAAGAGGGAGUGUGGAAUUCCUGGUGUAGCGGUGAAAUGCGCAGAUAGUCAGGAGGGAACACCGGUGGCGAAGGCGGGU
rnacentral:rRNA from 1 species